AUGAUAAGGCUGCUCUGGACAUCUGACAAUGGCUGGUACAUCACAGAGCACAGGGCAAAUCAUAACCAUGCUUUAACGCAAACAUGUGGUGAGAAGGUAAAUUGGCCAUCCCAUAAACAUAUAGAUGCAUACACAAGGGAUUUGGUUAAGAAGCUUAGGCAGAACAACGUAAAUGUCACAAAGGUGUACAGUAUAAUUUCAAGCAUCUUCGGUGAUGCAAACAAAAUGCCUUUUACUAAAAGAUCACUGCGAAAUUUGUGUGGUAAGAUAAAUAGGGAGCAGGCAGAGGAUGAUGUUAGGAAAACAAUUGAUGUGUUUGCUGACAUAGCUGCGAAAGACCGGGAGUUUGUUUUCAGAGUGCAGCCAGAUAAAGGAUGUAGGAUUAAGAAUUUGAUGUGGGCAACUGGUAGCAGCCGGAACCAAUAUAUUUAUUUUGGUGAUGUUGUUACAUUUGACACAACAUAUAGAACAAAUCUGUACGAUAUGCCAUUCGGGCUGUUCGUUGGGGUGAACAACCAUUUCCAGAGCAUUGUGCUGGCGGGUGUGCUUCUCCGUGAUGAAUAA
rnacentral:rRNA from 1 species